CAGUCGCCGCGGUAAUGCGAGGGGAGCUAGUGUUAUUCGGAAUUACUGGGCGUAAAGCGCACGUAGGCGGCUUUGUAAGUUAGAGGUGAAAGCCCAGAGCUCGACUCUGGAAUUGCCUUUAAGACUGCAUCGCUUGAAUCCAGGAGAGGUGAGUGGAAUUCCGAGUGUAGAGGUGAAAUUCGUAGAUAUUCGGAAGAACACCGGUGGCGAAGGCGGCUCACUGGACUGGUAUUGACGCUGAGGUGCGAAAGCGUGGGGAGCAAACAGGAUUAGAUACCCCCGUAGUCCCUGUCUCUUAUAC
rnacentral:rRNA from 1 species